rnacentral:tRNA from 1 species
GGGGUUGUGGCUCAGCGGUAGAGCACUUGCCUAGCACAUGCAAGGCCCUGGGUUCCAUCCUCAGCACCACA